rnacentral:misc_RNA from 1 species
AAGUCGUAACAAGGUUUCCGUAGGUGAACCUGCGGAAGGAUCAUUAUUGAAACUUGAAGGGCCCGUCGGUUGGCCCUGCUCCGGCCGCAAGGCAGUGAGCGGGCCGCUGCGGGUUCAUCCACACCAAACCCCUGUGCACCUUUGAGGGAAGGAGCUGGCGCAAGUCGGCACCUCCCUUCUAUCACAAACGCUAAAGUCUUAGAGUGUUUGCGGGCUCUGCCCGUCUAAUGACAAAACAACUUUCAACAACGGAUCUCUUGGCUCUC